CCUACGGGAGGCAGCAGUGGGGAAUAUUGCGCAAUGGGCGAAAGCCUGACGCAGCGACGCCGCGUGAGGGAUGAAGGUCUUCGGAGCGGAAACCUCUGUUAGCAGGGGAAAAAGGUCACGGUGCUAAUCAGCAGUGAAUUGACGUUACCUAUAAAGGAAGCACCGCCUAACUCCGUGCCAGCAGCCGCGGUAAUACGGAGGGUGGGAGCGUUAAUCGGAUUUACUGGGCGUAAAGCGCUCGUAGGCGGUAUGUCAAGUCAAGGGUGAAAUUCCCGGGCUCAACAUUGGAAUUGCCUUUGAUACUGGCAAACUUGAGUGUGGUAGAGGUUAGUGGAAUUCGUGGUGUAGCAGUGAAAUGCUUAGAUAUCUGGAGGAACACCGGUGGCGAAGGCGGCUAUCUGGCACAUAACUGACGCUGAGGAGCGAAAGCGUGGGUAGCAAACAGGAUUAGAUACCCUUGUAGUC
rnacentral:rRNA from 1 species